AGUGAGGAAUAUUGGUCAAUGGGCGAGAGCCUGAACCAGCCAAGUCGCGUGAAGGAUGACUGCCCUAUGGGUUGUAAACUUCUUUUAUAAGGGAAUAAAACACAGUACGUGUACUGUCUUGUAUGUACCUUACGAAUAAGGAUCGGCUAACUCCGUGCCAGCAGCCGCGGUAAUACGGAGGAUCCAAGCGUUAUCCGGAUUUAUUGGGUUUAAAGGGUGCGUAGGCGGGUUGAUAAGUCAGUGGUGAAAGUUUGCAGCUUAACUGUAAAAUUGCCGUUGAAACUGUCAGUCUUGAGUGCAAGUGAGGUAAGCGGAAUGUGUCAUGUAGCGGUGAAAUGCUUAGAUAUGACACAGAACACCAAUUGCGAAGGCAGCUUACUAAUAUGUAACUGACGCUGAGGCACGAAAGCGUGGGGAGCAAACAGGAUUAGAUACCCUGGUAGUCCACGCAGUAAACGAUGAAUACUAGUUGUUUGCGAUAUACAGUAAGUAACACAGCG
rnacentral:rRNA from 1 species